rnacentral:lncRNA from 1 species
GCAGGACUUGAAUCAGGGUCAUGCCUCUCCUGCUCUCUAAAGUUUUUUGGAGAGAGGGUCUUUACUUUUUCUGCUUAGUUGCCGUUGUGUCCAUUUUUUAAGUAUAUAUUUAAGGCAUUGUUAUAGUGAAGUGAGAAUGAAAAAUCUCCUGGUAAUAUGUCAUCUGAUGAAGAAUCACCAAAGAGAAUGGUCAGAGCUGUAACCUGAACAUGAACAACUUGGUCAUUUACUGGACUCGGGGUUGAGUAGAAGACAGAAUUCAUCAUUUGAAAGGCCUGAGUUUCAGCUCUGGCUCUGCCUCUCAUGAGCUACGCUGCCUAACCCCUCUGAGACUUCGUUUCCUCAUGUGUUUAAGAAAAUUUCUCUGGAGGCUCCUAAAUAAAA